rnacentral:miRNA from 1 species
UGUGGGAGAGUUGGGCAAGAAU